rnacentral:tRNA from 1 species
GGGGCAGUGGCGGAACGGUAGACGCCGCGGACUUAAAAUCCGCUGAGGGGAACCUCGUGUGAGUUCGAAUCUCACCUGCCCUACCA